rnacentral:rRNA from 1 species
UACGAGGGGUGCAAGCGUUGCUCGGAAUUAUUGGGCGUAGAGGGUAGGUAGGUGGUCUCAUUUGUCUGGGGUGAAAGCCUUGAGCUUAACUCAAGAAGUGCCCCAGAAACGGUGAGACUCGAGUCCUGGAGAGGGUCGUGGAAUUCCCGGUGUAGCGGUGAAAUGCGUAGAGAUCGGGAGGAACACCAGAGGCGAAGGCGGCGACCUGGACAGGUACUGACACUCAACUACGAAAGCGUGGGGAGCAAACAGG